rnacentral:rRNA from 1 species
AUUGAACGCUGGCGGCAGGCUUAACACAUGCAAGUCGAGCGGAGAUGAGGUGCUUGCACCUUAUCUUAGCGGCGGACGGGUGAGUAAUGCUUAGGAAUCUGCCUAUUAGUGGGGGACAACAUUCCGAAAGGAAUGCUAAUACCGCAUACGUCCUACGGGAGAAAGCAGGGGAUCUUCGGACCUUGCGCUAAUAGAUGAGCCUACGUCGGAUUAGCUAGUUGGUGGGGUAAAGGCCUACCAAGGCGACGAUCUGUAGCGGGUCUGAGAGGAUGAUCCGCCACACUGGGACUGAGACACGGCCCAGACUCCUACGGGAGGCAGCAGUGGGGAAUAUUGGACAAUGGGGGGAACCCUGAUCCAGCCAUGCCGCGUGUGUGAAGAAGGCCUUAUGGUUGUAAAGCACUUUAAGCGAGGAGGAGGCUACUGAGACUAAUACUCUUGGAUAGUGGACGUUACUCGCAGAAUAAGCACCGGCUAACUCUGUGCCAGCCGCCGCAGUAAGAC